rnacentral:rRNA from 1 species
UACGAAGGGGACUAGCGUUGUUCGGAAUCACUGGGCGUAAAGCGCACGUAGGCGGAUUUGUAAGUCAGGGGUGAAAUCCCGGGGCUCAACCUCGGAACUGCCUUUGAUACUGCGAAUCUUGAGUCCGAUAGAGGUGGGUGGAAUUCCUAGUGUAGAGGUGAAAUGCGUAGAUAUGUGGAGGAACACCUGUGGCGAAGGCAGCCCCCUGGGCUGAGAUUGACGCUCAGGCACGAAAGCGUGGGGAGCAAACAGG